CGUUGAGACAACUAAUACGUUAACGUUAAAUAUUUAGGUUGCACGAGGAGAAAUUAUUUUUUUGUGGAGCAAUACGAAACAAAUUUAAAUCAGUAGCAAGAGAAAUUUGCAAAAGUGCUCGACAUUCACUUUCGACUCACCACUGUCACUGUCACUGUCAGACGGAUUAGCCCCCUUAAAGCAAAACUUGCUAUUAAUUUUUUUUUGCUUCACUAAUUUUGAUCAUCAUGCUUGUUCACUUUUUUAAUCAAGGAUUUCGUUCUCAAAGGCUGGUUAUUAGCAUAAUUUAUGGACGUGUCUGAUGAUGCAGUAUAGAUUCAAACGAGUUUAGAUUGUGUCUGCGGUACGGGACAUUGUGUACUGUUAGUGUUUAUCACGCAAUGAAUGAUGAGGGGUUGUUCAGUGAUGCAGUGAAACAUCCCAGCCGCUAUUAAAUAGGCGAGCAGUUGGGUUUUUUACAGUUAAUUUCUUCCUUACAUGUUCACCAGCUAGAAGGCAUGCAGGGUGAAUUUUGACUAUCCAUCAGUAAAGGAUAACUGGGAAAUUUGGUUAAUCAUCAAGGAUGAAUCAAUUAGAUAAACAAAAAGUUGAGAAUUCAGUGCCCGGAAAACAAUUGCAGCCCAAAGUUUAUAUUACAAAAUGUGAAACAUUCAGUGCUUGUCACAGAUUACACAGUAACCAGCUGAGUGUUGAAAGCAACCAGAGUAUCUUUGGCAAAUGCAAUAACCCUAAUGGGCAUGGUCAUAAUUACAAAGUUGAAGUCACUGUGUAUGGACCGGUAAGUUGAAAAUAUGUCCUCAUGG